rnacentral:rRNA from 1 species
GACGGAGGAUGCAAGUGUUAUCCGGAAUCACUGGGCGUAAAGCGUCUGUAGGUUGUUUAAAAAGUCUGCAGUUAAAGGUUGAAGCUUAACUUCAAAAAUGCCGUAGAAACUUUUAAACUAGAGGAUGUAGGGGUAGAGGAAUUUCCAGUGGAGCGGUGAAAUGCGCAGAUAUCAAGGAGGAACACCGGUGGCGAAGGCGGGUCUCUGGGCCGUAACUGACGCUGAGGAGCGAAAGCGUGGGGAGCGAACAGG